GACGAAGGGGGCUAGCGUUGUUCGGAAUUACUGGGCGUAAAGCGCGUGUAGGCGGUUGCCCAAGUCAGGUGUGAAAGCCUUGAGCUCAACUCAAGAAAUGCACUUGGUACUGGGUGGCUAGAGGACCGGAGAGGAUAGUGGAAUUCCCAGUGUAGUGGUGAAAUACGUAGAGAUCAGGAAGAACACCGGUGGCGAAAGCGCUCUGCUGGACCUUAACUGACACUGAGGGACGAAAGCUAGGGGAGCGAAUGGG
rnacentral:rRNA from 1 species